rnacentral:tRNA from 1 species
UGGGAUAUAGCUCAGUUGGUAGAGUGCUUGCUUUGCAAGCAGGAGGCCCUGGGUUCAAUGAACAGCACCACAC